rnacentral:rRNA from 1 species
UACGAAGGGGGCUAGCGUUGCUCGGAAUGACUGGGCGUAGAGGGCGCGUAGGCGGAUGGCACAGUCAGAUGUGAAAUUCCCGGGCUUAACCUGGGGGCUGCAUUUGAUACGUGUUGUCUAGAGUGAGGAAGAGGGUCGUGGAAUUCCCAGUGUAGAGGUGAAAUUCGUAGAUAUUGGGAAGAACACCGGUGGCGAAGGCGGCAACCUGGUCCUUGACUGACGCUGAGGCGCGAAAGCGUGGGGAGCAAACAGG